CCUGCCUGCAGCUGCCAGCUGUGGCAGAGUUCUCUACCAGUGAGACCAUGGGACACUCUGAUUCUGGGGCUCAGCUCUGUGUGCUCCCAGUUU
rnacentral:miRNA from 12 species